rnacentral:rRNA from 1 species
CUACGGGUGGCAGCAGUAACGAAUAUUGUGCAAUGGGCGAAAGCCUGACACAGCGACGCCGCGUGUAGGAGGAAGUCCCUCGGGAUGUAAACUACUGUCAGGGUGAAGAAAGUCUGUUUCGGCAGAUUGAUCUAACCCGGAGGAAGUCACGGCUAACUUCGUGCCAGCAGCCGCGGUAAGACGAAGGUGGCAAGCGUUGUUCGGUAUUACUGGGCUUAAAGCGUGUGUAGGCGGAUAAAUAAGCGUUUUGUGAAAUCCCUCAGCUCAACUGAGGAAUUGCUUGACGAACUGUUUAUCUUGAGGCAAGUAGGGGUGCACGGAACUCUUGGUGGAGCGGUGGAAUGCGUAGAUAUCAAGAGGAACGCCAGUGGUGAAGACGGUGCACUGGGCUUGUUCUGACGCUGAGACACGAAAGCGUGGGGAGCAAACAGGAUUAGAUACCCCCGUAGUC